UGUAACUCAGUGGUAGAGCACUUGCCUCACAUGCAUGAGGUCCUGGGUUCAAUUCUCAGUA
rnacentral:tRNA from 1 species